rnacentral:lncRNA from 13 species
AUAGUGAAUGCUGUCUGUCUGUAGGUCAUCGUGUCUCUACUGUAAUAUCUGAUAGUGAAUGCUGUCUGUCUGUAGGUCAUCGUGUCUCUACUGUAAUCUACUGUACUAUCUGAUAGUGAAUGCUGUCUGUNNNNNNNNNNNNNNNNNNNNNNNNNNNNNNNNNNNNNNNNNAGUUCCACGUGGUUCUGACUGUCCUGCGGGGUUUUACCAGUUCCACGUGGUUCUGACUGUCCUGCGGGGUUUUACCAGUUCUGACUGUCCUGCAGGGUUUUACCAGUUCUGACUGUCCUGCAGGGUUUUACCAGUUCCACAUGGUUCUGACUAAACUGACUGUCUUUACUGAGGAGAAAGACAAGUCACAUUGGGCCAGGUAAAAAUAAAAUUAAAGACUACAAAACAAGUAACAUUGGGUCAAGUUGUAGUUUAUUAUCUCAGCAUUACCAUGGCAAUGCAAACCAACCGUUGCCUGGCAACAGACAUGACUGUGUGGAGACACUAGGGUCAGAUAAUACCCAGAAAGCAACACGAGCCAGACACCCACCACAACCAGCCUAGAAGAACACAUUAGUUCAUAUAUCAGUGUUACAACAAGUCAUUUAGGUUUAAUACAUACAACUCAGGUCCAUUGACUGUAAAUACCCUGCAUCAGUUUCACUGCUAAUUAAGGCUAUGACCAGCAACAAGCAGACGUUAAUCAGGAACCGUCCGGCUCCUCCUGGAGCUGGCAUGGUGUCUAACAGCGCUAUGGAGAGGUUCAUGAUCAAGCAGGUGGAACCACACGGAAUGUGGAACCACACGGAAUGUGGAACACCAUGAAAACACACGGACUGUGGAACCAUGAAAACACACGGACUGUGGAACCAUGAAAACACACGGACUGUGGAACCAUGAAAACACACGGACUGUGGAACCAUGAAAACACACGGACUGUGGAACCAUGAAAACACACGGACUGUGGAACCAUGAAAACACACGGAAUGUGGAAAGAGAUGAAAAUGACAUUGUUAGCAGCUGGAAUGAAAAGAGACCAACCAAGAAACAAAAGAUCUGAAAAUAAAUCUACGUUUAUCUUCAUUUGAAAAACAACACACAGCGACUGAUAGUUCAGCGUCGCCUGGCCGUGCAGAGAACACGACAAACUCAAAACAAACCUCGUUCUAUACCCAGGACGGUCUCAGAUGGCACCCGGUUCCCUAGAUAGUGAACGGGACGAACCCCGACAGUCACCAUGCUUCAGCUGGAACCUAACGCUCCAUCAACAUCACUUAGAGAAAGGAGGAUUAGAAACCAGGUGGUCGAGCCCUGAAAGCCCUGGUAUCAGACCGUA